rnacentral:rRNA from 1 species
GCGGCGGACGGGUGAGUAACACGUGGGUAACCUGCCUGUAAGACUGGGAUAACUCCGGGAAACCGGAGCUAAUACCGGAUAGUUCCUUGAACCGCAUGGUUCAAGGAUGAAAGACGGUUUCGGCUGUCACUUACAGAUGGACCCGCGGCGCAUUAGCUAGUUGGUGAGGUAACGGCUCACCAAGGCGACGAUGCGUAGCCGACCUGAGAGGGUGAUCGGCCACACUGGGACUGAGACACGGCCCAGACUCCUACGGGAGGCAGCAGUAGGGAAUCUUCCGCAAUGGACGAAAGUCUGACGGAGCAACGCCGCGUGAGUGAUGAAGGUUUUCGGAUCGUAAAGCUCUGUUGUUAGGGAAGAACAAGUGCAAGAGUAACUGCUUGCACCUUGACGGUACCUAACCAGAAAGCCACGGCUAACUACGUGCCAGCAGCCGCGGUAAUACGUAGGUGGCAAGCGUUGUCCGGAAUUAUUGGGCGUAAAGGGCUCGCAGGCGGUUUCUUAAGUCUGAUGUGAAAGCCCCCGGCUCAACCGGGGAGGGUCAU